UACGUAGGAUCCAAGCGUUAUCCGGAAUUACUGGGCGUAAAGCGUACGUAGGUGGAGGCUUAAGUGAGAUGCGAAAUCUGGCGGCUCAACCGUCUAGACUGUAUCUCAUACUGGGUUUCUUGAGGUUGGCAGAGGCAAGUGGAAUUUCCGGUGUAGCAGUGAAAUGCGUAGAGAUCGGAAGGAACACCAAUGGCGAAGGCAGCUUGCUGGGCCACACCUGACACUGAGGUACGAAAGCGUGGGGA
rnacentral:rRNA from 1 species